rnacentral:lncRNA from 1 species
AAGGCAGGGACAACUGUGAUGGCGUAAUCUGGCACUAAGGGGCGGGGGAUAAUCCAGGUGAGUCCCGUAGGGUUAUCUUCGUCCAUUCCCCGUAUUCAAUCUUCAUAGUUGUCGUUGCAGCCAUUGAUUUCAUCUUGCAUUAGACAUCCUUUCUUAGUGUUGCAUGACCUUGAUGUACUAAUCUAGAGUAGGUGACAUAUGUUGUUCCCCAUCAGGCAAGAGUGGCUUGAAGGGUAGGGCCUGUUCGCUUCAGCUUAUAAGCCGGCUAAAAAGCUGAAACGACUGAUUUGUUGUGAGAGGAAAACACUGUUUGGUGGCUGAUAAGCCAGUUGAAUGAGCUCAAGCGAAUAGACCCGUAGUUAGUAAGUCAGUUAGUGAGAAAUCAAGGAUAUAGUCGUAGAAUGCAAGGGAUUCAUAUAGUAAUCAAGGAGUAUAUACUCAAUCAAGGAUGUUUAGGCUGUCCGAAGCUAUCGUCCAUUUCUAGGGAUCGUCCUACGAUCAAGUAUCGCUCUGAUACCAACCUGAAUUUCCAUUUUUGAGAAUUCAAGCCCACGCACCUCCGUGAUAGUUUCAGAAAGGCUAUCACGUGCGAAUCUCUAUCUUAGAUAGUAUAAAUCCAUACCAACACAGAAAUAUAGAGUAGCAACAGAGUAUAAACAUCAUAAAUAUCGAGUACAUCACUUCGGCAUAUGCCGGUACAAGUCUAUCAGGACCGAAUCAAGAAAGGUAAAACAUCUACGCAGCGGAAACAUGAGCUAUGGCGAACACCAUCUCGAGAGGCAACUUGAGUGAGGGACCAUCCCUAGUCUUCCCAUCAGUCAUUGCCAAAGCCGUAGUCGAGCUCUGACCCUGAAAAGCCACCAUCUACCCGAGAAGCGGGUAGGCCAUGUCAACUCCCAAUAGUAGCAAGCUAAGAAAAUAGGGGAAUAAUCCAAUAUGCUUGGGUAAUCCUAUUUAUGGCUGUAGAGGUUUAUGCAGCAGCAACAACAACAUUCAAGGAAGCAGCAAAGCAACACCAUCUCUGAGGUCAACACCUCAAUCAAGGAAGUCAUCACAAAUUACCAGAUCCUUUACCCAAAAAUCCAGCACCCAAACACACUAGGCGAUGUUAGAGCUCCCUUCCCUCACAUCUCAAUGGCAAAUGCCGACCUAUCUCAAAAAGAGGUGGUAGAAGAGUGAACAAAGUCUAGUCAGAAGUAGCGGUCGUCAACAACACUGUCCAUAACCAGUGGACAUGGAAUAUAGUUAUAGAUUUACACACUCUACAUAUGUUGUACAACUGUACCCGCAUGGAUGGAGCUUGAACGGGGAUCAGCCGUCCAAACCCUACCUAACAGCCAGAGCCCUAGUAGGUGGAUAGCUCUCUUCUGUUUCCUCGAGUCUGGAACCAUCCUCAGCUGCAGGGCACGCCGUCACCAGUGAGGACCUCGAAGCUGUGAAACCUACCCAUGUUGGGGUGCAGUCUAGUCAGAACAGGCCAACGCCUCGAACUCCUUACACGAUCCUCCAUUCCGCCUACAGGCUGAGCACUAUCCACCACUAGUCUCGGACCGAACCCUGCCCAUAACGUAAGCGAGUGGUAUAAACGAAAAUAGAUGCUAUGACUAUUGGUAAACUGACUCAGUCCUUAAGCGGCCGAGAGUGAGCACUCUACUCCUCGAGUAUGUGCCGAAGCACCUACAACAUACACAUACGCCACUUGCUCCUCAAUAUAAAACAAGGUACCCACCAUAUGUACAGGGUAUAGAGAGAGUCCAGAAUGCUCUGUCCCAGCAAGGCACUCCUCAGUACCAACCACGGCUCGCCCCCGCCAAAAAACAUCAAGAAGUCACACUCACCCAAAAAACAUGCGAGAGUGUUCAAGGAAUCCUAUCACCAAAACCAUGGCAUAUGCCCAUCCAUAACUCAAAAGCAUGUAUGUGGAAAUAAGUGCAGUGGACUAGCUAGGGGUCUGUAGCUAGUCCAAAAGUAGGUACAAGGAAAAUAGGAUAAACAAUUAUCAAGGCAUGGCUAAAAACAUUGGCUAUGCAAUCCAUCAACAUCAAGCAUCAUAAAUAAAGCGCUAGCAACUAAGCAUGCAUAGGAUCUAUAUGAUUGGGAGUGACAUGACACCUUAUUCAUUGUCAUCGAAGUCCUCGAUGAUGAAGUUGAGGUUGAAGGGUCUUCUUAGUCGUCGCAGCUUGAGACUUCAAACAGGUCUACAACAUACACGAGAUGCGACGCGAAAAUAAAUAACGAACAAUACAUCUAAUGCAAAAAUACCAAGAAGAGCAUGAUAGAAUAUACAAAUAACUCCAAACUAGCUACAAAUACCAUGGGUUCAAUUUUCAAAAAUUGAUGAAAUUGGUUUCACAAUUUUCUAAGCUAGUAUGAAUUAGUUAUGAAUUAAUAAGGAAGUAAGGCAAAUUAAUCAAUUUAAAUUCAGAAACUAAGGUAGGGACAUGUGUCAGCUCCUAGUUGUAUGACGGGUCUCGCAGCUUAGAUCUUCUAUGUUCACGCGAGCAUGUGGGUUGCGACGUGGUAGGCUUGAGACAGGCUGGGCGCGUGCAUGUGCAAGAUGCUCGAGCAAAUGCCCUAAAGGAAGCGGCGGCGCAAUAGAGCAAAGGCGACGGUGCAGGCUUUGAUGUCGGCGUGGAGCGACAAGGUGGCGGCUUGGCAGACAACGGCGGCAAGGUAGAGUGGCGCAACGCAUAUGGGUGGCAGGUGCAUGGCCACAACGAGCCAGAGCUCGUGGCCGUGGCGCAAGGCGACAGCUUGGCAGUAGCGAUCUGUAUGGAAAGAUGGUGGCUUGCGGCGAUAGAAUAAAGGCAAUGUGCAGUGCGGUGGCGAGGUUGCAAGGCAGCGGCAAGAGCGUGGCGACGUGAGCACUUGCAAGGAUACAAGCUCAGCUCAAAGGCCGGCGACAUAGGCAAUCAAGGCAAGGCAACAACUUGGACAGUCGGCGGGUCGUCGGUGCAAGGGGGAGGGAGGAGAGCGUGCGUGUGUGGCUCACCAGGCAAGAUUAGCUUUCACACAAAACGUUGUGUAGGUUGUGGACAUGGCUAGCUCGACGAAGGCUCGCGGUUUAGGCAUUUUACCGAACAGGUUGAGGGCAAGGUAGUUCUUGACGAAGGCGCCAGCCAUGUAACGUCAGCUUCCUUGUCUUUGUGGCCGUCGAUGACGUCUUCUCCGGUGGUGCUGCUAUGGCUGUCCCGCUCAUCCUCGUAGCCAUCGGCGGCGGUGCUUGGUGCAGACGGUGGCCUCCUCCUCUAGCUCAUCGCUGUCGUCCCCUCUACCCUCCAGCUUGGCUUGGAGUAGACGGAGACGUAGGCGUCCGCAGCGUGGUGAAGUCGUCGAUGAGGAGGUUGUGCAGCUCCACUCCAAGAAUCACUAGUGCUGCUUCUCUUCACGACGGCGGCAUUCCACCGGUUCUCCUCCUCUUUUUUUCCCCUCUUCUCCUUCUACUAGCUGGUGGCAUGCAGGAAAAGCUCAGGCUGCUGGAUUGCUUCGGGUGGAAGGGAGAGCAAGGAAUGAGGAGAAGCGCAGAUGCUACGGUUUGCUUCUCCAUGGGAACAAAGAAGGAAGAAAGAGAGCAGAGUGGUGGCGACAUCCUGUGGCAAAGAUGGAGAGGGUGCAGCUGCUAUGAGGCUUUAUAGCUCGAGGAGUAGGGUUCCGGGGGCGAGCUCCUGUAGGACGGCCGGCCGGUGAUCUUUGAUUCGUGAGCUUGAGGCCACACGGUGAGCAUCAGGCUUGGUUGGGCGAAGCAGUGCCACGCACAUGAGUGCUAGCAAGGCGGUAGCGUGCGCUGAGCUGCUUGUGCGUGGGGGAAAGUGGAGCAGGGCAUCUGUGCACGGCGCGGGUGUCGACUUCCCGUCGCAGAAUGGGUUGCCCCCUCGCCAAUCCAUUUUGUGGAACGAUGACGAAGAAGAGAGAACAGGACAGAGAGAAGCAGCGUUGGCUCCGCGUGAAGACGACACGACGAGGUGCUGGUGUGUCCGUUGAUGGCUAGCGGAGCAGGCCGAGCUGGGCCAUUGCGGGCUGCUGCUUAUCAGGCCAAGGUAGAAAUAAAAGAAGGAUCAGCUAGGUUAAGCUGGUUUGGCUCAGGCCGAUGCUCAGCUAACUGGUUUAGAUAAAGAGAGACAUAGCCUGGGCUUUUCGUGAAAGAAGAGAGGAAGAGAGCAAGGAGAUUAACGUGGACUUGUUUUUGGUUUUUGGCUAGGGUGAUUAGCCGGCGUUAGCUGGUUAGUUAGCAAGCUGAUUAGAGAAGGAAAAGACAGAUGGUCAAGGAGAUUGUUAGCGGACUUGCCGGGCAGUUUGGCUAGUGGACAACUCGGGUGCAAAGUCAGUCCAAUUAGGUUUUUAUUAUGCUAUUUACAUGUUAGCUUUAGUUUGUAUUUUGAAUUAGAUUCAAAAUACAAACUCACACAUGAGAUCCAAAUAAAAUCAAAUGAAAAUCCAAAUCACUCAUGCAAGCAUGUUUUAAAUUUGAAUGCACAAUUUUAAUUACUAGCUUUUGAAUUUAGGGGAAAGAAGUGAGGGUUGACCUUAAUUUUGACCAUGUAAUUAAAUGAUCCACACAUUCAAACAAAUUUUUUAAAUUUUUGCAAAAAUUGGCACAAUUAAAAUCACUCAAUUUUGAGGGAUAUUACAGUCUCUCCCCCUCAGGUUAAUCUCGUCCUCGAGAUUAAGGCUGUACUAGGUGCAGUAGGGUACUCAUCUUCUUCGAUUUGUCCUCACUCUUCCCAAUAUCUUCGAUUUCAGCCUAGAUACUCUUUUGACGAGCAUGGGUCUUCGUUGGUGACCUUACUUCUUCAAGUGUUGCCACCUAUUUGAAGUUCAAAAACUCUUGUUUCCAUGAGUGGUUCUUCGAAGUCAAGUGCUAUUGCCUAUCGUCUCUUGGUGUAGCAUCCAUAAGCACUUCUCUAAUUGUAAUCCAUAUCUCAUGGGCUAUACCUUCAUUGAGGCCUUGUGAAAUUCCAAUUUAUAGGGUAGGGUCCCAUUGUCUUAAUCCAUCUCAUCUAGUCGUGUAUACCUCGGCUUUGGUUAGCUUAGGUUUAGAGUCUUUGUGCCCAAUAGAAUACGAUGAUCUCAAAUUAUUGCAAUCCUUCAAUUCGAGGCUAUUAGAUCCUUCUUGUCAGCGUAGCCCUUGCUAGCUACUUAGACUUAUUCCAUCAUAUUCCUUAUGCACUUGGCCAUGUUCUCACGGCAUCCAUUAUGUACUUUUAAUCCAAUAAGGCACGAUUCUCCCACUUCUUUCCUCGUGCAAGGAGUCGUAUACUUUUUGCCCAACAGAGUUCUUAAAUCCGAUAUUUCCGAUCAUACCAAGUAGCUUGGUGAUAAUGGGGUAGUGCAUAUGAAAAAAUCUUAUCCAAUACUUUGUUAUAUACAAAAGCAUGCAUCCUUAGCAUCUACUCACGUAUAGGGUUGUCCUCUUCCAAAUUUAACUCCUUAUCCGAAAGUGAUACCCUAGGUGGUAGACGAGUCUCAUUCCAAGGGUUUGAUAGGCGGUUACUAGGCACCACUGCUUAUUGAGAUUCGAUUCAUGGCAUUUUCCUUUAUAGACCACGAAGUAGGUUAUUUAACCUUUCAUCCUUGGUCACCAUACCUUCAUCCUUGAAUUCUUAAACCUCUUGGUGUAACAAUGUGAAAGCAUGAGCUUCUUUCAGGAUCGUUUCUUAAUUAUGAUCCAUUUGGCACAUCAUUGCACUAUUUGUCUCCAUGGGUGCCUUACUCCAUGAUCCUGGGACCUAGGUUCACUCUUGAGUCCAAAAUCUCUUUUCUUCGUCCAUCUUUUGAACAUCCCUAGGUUUCUCUUAUUUAUCCAAAUAGUCUUCUUGAUUCCAUGUCCAUCUAGGACAUGUUGAAGACAUUAAAUUAUUAUCUCUUGAUCCAUAAGUACAUAUUAUGGAUUUCCAAAGUGUUAGUGCAGCCACAUCUCCAUGGCAUGCAUUCUAAAUUAGCUAACUGCAUCGUAGGCUUAGAUAGCUUGCUUCUUACCUCUUUAGCUAUAGCAAGGAUUAUGUACUCACUUCUUGCAUAAGUACAUGAAGUAUGCACUAUGUCGAAACAUGUAUUCAUAGAAGGCCCUUGUAUGGUUAAUUAAGGUGACUCCCGCUCAAGGGUUAGUCAAUCUUGCCUAACGACUAUUCUCGCGUCCAUUAAUCCAUACCAACUUCACAGGUUACUUUAUUUUAUAAUCCAUUGUUGGUUUAGCACGUCUUGAACGGUUCUCAUCAAAGUGCUAGCAUUAUCCAACAGAAUCAAUUAUCUCUUGAUUUCAACUAUUAUGCAUGGUUACUCCCCAUUCAUGGUAGUCCAUGUUCGGAGGAGUCAUCUGCAACAACCUCGACUAUGUGAGAUAAUCUCUUCAACCAAAAGCUCACACUAGUCAAUUUUGUACCCAACAAGGUAGAUCUUCUCAAGCGUAUAACUUGCAUCUUACAAAUGCUCAUUAGCACUCUCGGGCUAGUUGAGGUUAACCCUUACGAAUACCAUAACACUUAACCAAUUCCCAAUAGGGUCCUUAUUCCUCAUAUCUAGGGGCGGUUUGGAUCACUUAACAAUCCAUAGUGUGAAUCCCGAUCCCUUGCAAAUCCUUUAUAUUAUUCCUCUUGAUGGUAUUCUUACCUUAUACAUAUCCUGAAAAUUUACAUGGCUUCAUCUCUUUGCCAUGUUACUCUGCAAUUCCAAUUAAAUAAUUUCACUUGUUGGUUAGUUCAUCUAGGUGGGCAAUUACCCUCUCUUGUUCUCACAAUCUCUUCUUACUCCCUUUCCAAUAGAGUAGGUGGUUCCAACUACUAGGUCCGAUCACUUUUAUCCAGUAGUCCUUAUGUUUAUUUCUCAUGCCACUAGUCCAAUAGGUAGUGUCCAAUAGAGCUUCUUUACUAUUGAAGUUAUUCCAAAAGUGGGGUCGAUCGGAACUCCAUAACUUAAUCUACUUGUAGACCUAGUAAUUCCAUAAGAAUUCCUUCAUGUAUCCUUUUCCAAAGGCAUAACUCAUGGUGCUUAUCCAGUUACGCUGCUUAUUCACUAGUUCCGAAAGAACUCCUUUGGAGUAGAUGCUAGGUUAUAUUCCAUAGUAUGACUUAAGGAUGACUACUCAUGUAACAAAAACCUUGUAUCCUUCGAGUUUGGUCAUUCAAACCAUAUCCAAAACUUCAACAAUACCUUUGGGUCGAAGUAUUGUCUAGUCAGUUGCGAGUCCAUUUGCUUCCACAUAUUGGUGAUGUCAUAGUUUUAUAGCCAUGGAUUUGUUAUGUCCGAGUGGCAGGGGAAAUGUAAAUCUAGAAAGAACGCAUGAUUGUCCAUCCAUGGGAGGUUCAAUGCACAUAUUAAGGGUUUUAGCAGUGCAGAUUAUCUUCGAUCGCCAAAAUGGCUUGGAACGAACAAACACUUACAUCCAUUCUUUUGUUAUCUUGGGAUCCUUUUGAAGGCACUUGAUACUCGUGUUCGUGUUUCAACUUCCAAGAUAUGAAGGUACCAUGUUCCAGGUCCUUGCUUGGGUUUACCUGAGAUAGGGAGAGCCCUCUUAUUGGCAAAUCUCAUCCUUUCAUUUGACAAUUCCAAGCAAGGUGCAAAUGGGAAGCUAGAGUACUCCAGUGGAAACUCUUAAAUUAUUUGUUCCAUUGGGGGUACUUUCUCUUUGUCCACUAAUUAAGUACCAAUAAUUGAUUGUACUUGUCCAAAUGCAUCGCUAGUGUCUCAGGGUACUCAAUUGCUCUUAACCAAUAUGUGCUUCCAUGGGUAUACAUGCACUUCUGAACUUGUGAGGUUCCAAAUUCUCGAGGCACUCAUAACCAGGACUAUGAUCUGAAUUCCAAUAUUCAUAGGUAGCUUAUCCAACGUCGUAGUCUGACUUGUCGAGAUUGCAAUGAAAUUUCUUCUCUUCUUUUGAAGUAGAUCUUGUUAAUUUGCUUGAACGCGUCAGUAUUCAUUCUUCAAGCUCAUGGUCUUGUAGCAAGGUAGGCUAAGGCUUCUAAAGGAGUCAUCUAAAGGAUCUAGCAAGAGUGAGCACACAAUACAAUUUCACACAAACAUGAAGAUGCAUAAGAUCCAUAAGACCAUAAAGAUCCAAUUCACUCAAACAAUGCACCAAACCAAAGAGCGUAUCUCGAGGCUAACUCCUAAGACCUUCGAUAUUACACUCAGACGAUAAGAAGUGUACUAGUAUAUCAUGGCCAUGGGGGUAUGUAGGGGUUCUCUAAUGUUAGUGAUAUAUCAUUGAAUGGUACAAGCUUCAUUUCGACUUCUACAUCUAUUCCAUAUCAUGAUUUUGUGUGAAGCUCCCAAAGAAAGCUGGUGAAACUCUGUAUUUAUGCUAGCCCAUCUUGUUGGUUGUAUUCCAUAUUGCCUUGGGAACACUUAAUGCAUUCAGGUCUGCAUCCUUUAGCAAACCUAGGUUCUUGAACCAACCGGGUUAAAAUCCCGUUACCAAAUUAUCUUUUCUGAUAGAAUGUGUUCCAUAAGUAGCCUUAGAAGCACAUGGGUUCUAGUAGGGGGGAGCUAAAAUCUCCACGUUCUUAGACCAAGGCUUCUCAUCCAACUUUGCUAGUUCAGAUACUCUGUCGUAGUUGGACUACUCUCCUUCUUCCAUGGUUCUCACAGCUUUGUCCUUGCAAGGAGGGGUGCUUGCUGUCCAUUUCUAUUCAUUCUCCGUUAUGAUUUCCUUUGUUUGUUCGCCUUUAGAUGGGACAACUUCUCUUGUAGGUCUUUAAAAUCCAUGCCCCCAAAUUUCUCACACUUAUUCGCAAUGGAAAAUUCCUUAUGGUGAAUUAACAAGUCCAUAUUCAUGAUUCCUUAUUCCUGGUACGUGAUGCUAGCUUGCAGGGUGAUCUUAGUCUUCCAUUCAAUCAAUCAUUUUGCCUCAUGUAGCUGCUGCUUGUUACAAUAUCUUAAUCCUUUGCAACUUGACCACACUUGUAGCUUCAAGUCUAUAAAUCUUCAUCCACAUGUUGAGCUACGGGCAUCUCAGAAGUUUCCAAAUCCUGCAUCCCAGAUCAUGUGUGCAGAUACAAUGUAGUAGAUUAUCAUACAUCCUUAUGUUGGCCCCACAGCGAGUUAAAAUCUCAAGUCCUCAUUCUCUUCAUAGUGUGGACCCGGGCGACCAUCCGGUCUUCUUCCUAAAAACUCCCAAGUUCUUGAAUUGGCCUGAGCUAGAGGCGGCAGGGUAUAUCUAUAGUUGUAGCCUUAUCCGCAUGUGGACCUGACGUAGCAUACUUGUGGCAGUCUAAUCAUCCUCUGAUAGACCGAAUUCAAGGGCAGGGACAACUGUGAUGGUGUAAUCUGGCACUAAGGGGCGGGGGAUAAUCCAGGUGAUUCCUGUAGGGUUAUCUUUGGCCAUUCCCCAUAUUCAACCUUUAUAGUUCUUGUUGCAGUCAUUGACUUCAUCUUGCAUCAGACAUCCUUCCUUAGUGUUGCAUGACCUUGAUGUACUAAUCUAGAGUAGGUGACAUAUGUUGUUCCCCAUUAGGCAAGAGUUGCGUGAAG